rnacentral:rRNA from 1 species
GAUGAACGCUGGCGGUGCGCCUAAUACAUGCAAGUCGAACGUGAUUACCUUGAAGUUUACUUCUUGGUAUGAAAGUGGCGGACGAGCGAGUAACACGUAAGUACCUACCCCGUACUCAGGGAUAACCUAUCGAAAGGUAGGCUAAUACCGGAUAGUCUCGAAAGAGUAAAGAUUUAUCGGUACGGGACGGGCUUGCGGCCUAUCAGCUAGUUGGUGAGGUAACUGCUCACCAAGGCUAUGACGGGUAACUGGUCUGAGAGGAUGAUCAGUCGCGAUGGAACUGAGACACGGUCCAUACUCCUACGGGAGGCAGCAGUAAGGAAUCUUCCGCAAUGGACGAAAGUCUGACGGAGCGACACCGCGUGGAGGAAGACGGCCCCUUGGGUUGUAAACUCCUUUUCUGAGGGAAAAAGUUCUGAUGGUACCUCAGGAAUAAGCACCGGCUAAUUACG